rnacentral:pre_miRNA from 1 species
GGUGCCCCGGUAUCCUGUCCGUGGUUCUACCCUGUGGUAGAACAGCAUGACGUAACCUACCAUAGGGUAAAACCACUGGCAGGACACAGAGAGAGACA